GAAAAUGACGGACAUGUCAGGAUAGAUUAUCUCGAUAUAUCGUGUUAUAUCGUGGCAUCUCGAAAAUUAUUAAGACGACACGCCAGAACUGAUUCUUGUCUUGUUGACAAAGUUUCUACCACUGGUCAUAAUUUAUGCUACGCUUACCUAAAUUUACUCGAUUGUUGACAUAACUGGUGUCAUACAAAAUUGUUUCACACAGGAAAAUAGGACGGCAUGCUACAUAAUCAAAUAGACAUCAUGAAUAUGUGAAUAACGUUCUAUUUUAUGUUAAUAUACUGUGAUAUACCUUGUUUUCUUGUAAAAUAUUUACACGUCGUGAGCAGAUACCUUGUAUUAUUUAAAGAAAAUUAAGCAAAAUGUCGGUAGUUUUGUAUUAGCUUUGGAAUUCUGCCGUUUUUGUUGGAAGCAAUGGCUGCAUAAAACUACGUUAUAUGUUUGCCUGUUCUUUUGUGAAAGCUGUGUUGCCUGGUUUGGUGUCAACAAGUUCAAAGAUGUGUUAGUUACUUAAUAUUUCCGGCUUGGAUAUUUACAUGGAAAGUUACAGUUUAGUUUAUUUUUUACACAUAACAUUGUGGUAACUCUUCGACAUGCAAGACAAACUGUCGGGCGCCUUGGGGUGAGGAGAUAUAGGGCUGGUUCUACGUCACCAUAUGUAAUAAAUGAAGUUAGAAAGCUUUGCAACAGAUGGCAUAAUAUGGAGCAUGUUUAAGUCAUCAGACAGAGUGAAAGAAUCGCAAGAAAUAGCCAGGCAUAUAUUAAGGACCAUGGAUACAUUGAUGUGAUUUCAAAACGUCUGUUACACAGACCUACAUAUAUCAAAAGUGGGCAUGCAUUUAGACGAUCACCUAAAUGUUAAAACUUUUGGAAUUUCAGUGCAUAUGGCUAUACAAUGUAGGUGGAAAACUCAGGAAAAGUACUUAGGUUACGAGUAUCUUAAAAAGAUCUGCCAAAGAUUGGCUGACUAUAUUAAGUCUAUACUUUUAAGUUCCGAGAGUUGUUCGUGCAGUUAUUGCAUCAGAUUUUCAAAUGGCAUUAAGACACUAUUAUGGUGAUAGUAUUUCGGAUAGAACGAGCAUUUUAAAUAGACAGGAGAUCCAAAAAACAAGGAAAAACACUCGCACACCACACACACUCAAACACAAAAUAAACACACAAGCACAAAACAAACAAAUACAGGAAAACAAUGGGGCACCACCUUUGGAUGGUCAGUGGCAAAACCACCACCGGGGAGUUUAAACUGAUUUACCUCAUUCUUACCCCACCAUGUUCCAGAGUCACAAGACAGUUAUCCCCGUCAGGUGAAACCCUAACAUACGUAAAGGCAGCAGAAGGAUACUUUUUUGCAAGUGCUCGAAAACAAACUGAUUCAUUUGGACAAAGAAAAGUUUGAAUAGUCAAGUAACAGUGCAAAACAAUGUACCUUAACUGGUUGUAGAUCUAUAUAUGUAAUGCUUCUUUUAGAAAUAUGCAAGACUACCGUUUAGUGUCAGAAUUAGUUGUCUUCCUUGAACACUAUCACUAACAUUGCAAGAGAUGCUAACUAAUAUGAAAUGUUAAAAAUAUGGUGAACAAUCUAAUUAUAAUAAUUGGCUAUUUUGUAGUACCACUAUAUGUUGUAUAGUUUUUUUCUUUCACAGAUGUUUUUCAAAUUCACAUAUAUGUUAGGAAAAUUUGUGCUGAAAACAAUGAACAAAUAAAAACAAUGGGUCACCAGGCUUGUUUUUGUGAAAAAAAUGUUUUGAAAACACCCAAUGUUGCUGAAACUGAUAGCGACUUUUCAACAUUUUCAUGAUUGUUUGCUUUUUUUAUAAAUACAAACCAAAGUAUGCAUAAAGACAGCACAAUAAGGUUAAAUCUUUUUACAUAUUCUAUUAUAUACUUAUUUCAUAUCAUAGUCAUAUUUGUAAUACAAUAUCAUUAUAAUUAUGCGUACAAAUAGAUGAAAAUCUGGUUUCAUAUUCACUUUUGUGAACUUUUUUUAAAGUGGAAAUAUGAGCAUUUUUCAAGUACAAAAUCAGCUGAAAUAGAUGUGUGUGUAAAAAGGGUGGAGGAAAUUAUAGCUUUUAACCCAAUAAACCAAACUCGUCCGUUACCAGUACGAAAUAAUAACUUUCCAAAUAUGACUUUUCUUAUUUUGACUGGGGCAGUCUUUUUUUGAAAAGUCAAACUGCACGCAGGAGUUGUUUCCCUUCAACUAUAGAAAUCUCCACCUUUAGGUAAGGGAAAUCACUACGUAGAAGAUUGCAGAAAAGAACUAUAAUUUCAUUUGUCCGAUAACCUUAUUUCUAAAGCAUCAACUUCAAUUAUUUAUGCGGCAUUAUCGUUAAUUUAACGCAUUUAAAAGUACAGCAACCGAAAAUUGCUUUUAUAAAACAUUCCCCCCAAAAACACAGUAUGUGCAGUAAGAUGCGCAUAAUGCCACUUUAAUGGAAAAUACUCAUAGUAAAGAACUUUAUUUUUUUUUUAAUUUUGAAAAAGCUGUUUCUAGAAAUUUUUUCCUGUUUUCAUUGUGAAUAAACAAUUGAAUUGUUAAAAUAAAAAUGGAAAAAAAAGUAUGGGUCACCGGGCUAAAUUUUAUGUUAAGGCCGCUUGAAUGCAACACCUGUGCGGACGAAAAAUGGCGCGAACCUGACUAAGUUGAUUACAUGUAUAUCUGCCAGAAGCUAAAAAGAAGUUUAAAAAUUCUUAAUUCUUUCUGUAAUUGAAUACUGAAUAAUCUGAAAGGCUAUUUUGUCUUAUUAAUACAAAGUUAACUUAAAUGUCUAACACUAUAUAAACAGCACUGUCUUUGUACUAACGUGCGCUGUCAAAAUACAGCCACAAAAAUGGCAAGAUACAUGUGAGGCAUGAUUCAUGCCAAUACAACAUAAACCAGUAUCAACAUUUGAUUACUGAUAAAACUUAUUAAAAAUAUUAUUUUAUUCAAGAUUCCUCACAUUUAAGAUUGUCUGUAACAUGUUUCAAGAAAUGUUGACUUCACUUCAAUUUUCCAUAGAUGGUGUAGGCUGCGCAGAAACAUGCGCAUAAAAAAACUACCGGAAUUCCCUUUAAAUGUGCUUUGAUUUUUCUUUUAAAUGUGAUGCUUGAAUUUUAUAUUGUUACAUGUUGCACAAAACUGUAUAAGGCAGAUAAAAUGAAACCACCGCUUAUGACUGAACUGUUAUUCAGUAAAUAAACAAUAGAAAUUUG